rnacentral:rRNA from 1 species
UACGGAGGGGGCUAGCGUUGUUCGGAAUUACUGGGCGUAAAGCGCACGUAGGCGGACUGUUAAGUCGGGGGUGAAAUCCUGGGGCUCAACCUCAGAAUUGCCUCCGAUACUGGCAGUCUCGAGUGCGGGAGAGGUGAGUGGAAUUCCCAGUGAUAGAGGUGAAAUUCGUAAGAUAUUGGGAAGAACACCAGUGGCGAAGGCGGCUCACUGGCCCGUAACUGACGCUGAGGUGACGAAAGCGUGGGGAGCAAACAGG